rnacentral:rRNA from 1 species
GUGUAGCGGUGAAAUGCGUAGAGAUGUGGAGGAAUACCGAUGCCGAAGGCAGCCAUCUGGCCUAAUACUGACGCUGAGGUACGAAAGCAUGGGGAGCAAACAGGAUUAGAUACCUUGGUAGUCCAUGCCGUAAACGAUGUCUACUAGCCGUUGGGUCCUUUGAGGCUUUAGUGGCGCAGCUAACGCGAUAAGUAGACCGCGUGGGGAGUACGGUCGCAAGACUAAAACUCAAAUGAAUUGACGGGGGCCCGCACAAGCGGUGGAGCAUGUGGUUUAAUUCGAUGCAACGCGAAGAACCUUACCUGGCCUUGACAUACUAGAAACUUUCCAGAGAUGGAUUGGUGCCUUCGGGAAUCUAGAUACAGGUGCUGCAUGGUUGUCGUCAGCUCGUGUCGUGAGAUGUUGGGUUAAGUCCCGCAACGAGCGCAACCCUUUUCCUUACUUGCCAGCAUUUCGGAUGGGAACUUUAAGGAUACUGCCAGUGACAAACUGGAGGAAGGCGGGGACGACGUCAAGUCAUCAUGGCCCUUACGGCCAGGGCUACACACGUGCCACAAUGGUCGGUACAAAGGGUUGCUACCUAGCGAUAGGAUGCUAAUCUCAAAAAGCCGAUCGUAGUCCGGAUUGGAGUCUGCAACUCGACUCCAUGAAGUUGGAAUCGCUAGUAAUCGCGGAUCAGAAUGCCGCGGUGAAUACGUUCCCGGGCCUUGUACACACCGCCCGUCACACCAUGGGAGUUUGUUGCACCAGAAGUAGGUAGUCUAACCGCAAGGAGGACGCUUACCACGGUGUGGCCGAUGACUGGGGUGAAGUCGUAACAAGGUAGCCGUAGGGGAACCUGCGGCUGGAUCACCU